CCUACGGGAGGCAGCAGUAGGGAAUAUUGCUCAAUGGGGGAAACCCUGAAGCAGCAACGCCGCGUGGAGGAUGAAGGUUUUCGGAUUGUAAACUCCUGUUGUUAGAGAAGAUAAUGACGGUAUCUAACGAAUAAGCACUGGCUAACUCCGUGCCAGCAGCCGCGGUAAUACGGAGGGUGCAAGCGUUACUCGGAAUCACUGGGCGUAAAGAGCGCGUAGGCGGGAUAGCAAGUCAGAUGUGAAAUCCUAGGGCUUAACCAUAGCACUGCAUUUGAAACUGUUAUUCUAGAGUAUGGGAGAGGUAGGUGGAAUUCUUGGUGUAGGGGUAAAAUCCGUAGAGAUCAAGAGGAAUACUCAUUGCGAAGGCGACCUGCUAGAACAUAACUGACGCUGAUGCGCGAAAGCGUGGGGAGCAAACAGGAUUAGAUACCCGAGUAGUC
rnacentral:rRNA from 1 species